GUCCACGCCGUAACGAUGAGAACUAGGUGUUGCGGGUAUUGACCCCUGCAGUGCCGCAGCUAACGCAUUAAGUUCUCCGCCUGGGGAAGUACGGUCGCAAGACUAAACUCAAAGGAAUUGACGGGGCCCGCACAAGCGGUGGAGCAUGUGGUUUAAUUCGACGCAACGCGCAGAACCUUACCUGGGCUUGACAUCUGCGGAAUCCGGCUGAAAGGUCGGAGUGCCUUCGGGAGCCGCAAGACAGGUGCUGCAUGGCUGUCGU
rnacentral:rRNA from 1 species